rnacentral:rRNA from 1 species
AUUGAACGCUGGCGGCAGGCCUAACACAUGCAAGUAGAACGAGUGGCGGACGGGUGAGUAAUGUCUGGGAAACUGCCCGAUGGAGGGGGAUAACUACUGGAAACAGUAGCUAAUACCGCAUACCAUCGGAUGUGCCCAGAUGGGAUGAGGUAGAAGGUGGGGUAACGGAUCACCUAGGCGACGAUCCCUAGCUGGCCCGAGAGGAAGACCCGCCACACUGGAACUGAGACACGGUCCAGCCUCCUACGGGGGGCAGCAUUUGGGAAUAUUGCCCAAUGGGCGCAAGCCUGAUGCAGCCCUGCCGCGUGUAUGAAGAAGGCCUUCGGGUUGUAAAGUCCUUUCAGCGAGGAGGCGUUACUCGCAGAAGAAGCACCGGCUAACUCCGUGCCAGCAGCCGCGGUAAUUC